CUAUGUCGGUUAUCUUUAUCGAAUUGAUUUAGAUUGAUGAAAAAUUAAGCCAUGACAUUGUCAAAAGAAAUUCCAUUCACAAGACCACCUUUCAUGGCUGUACGCACACGAGAUGCAAAUCCUUGAGGGUCUUUAUGCAAAUCAGCCGCCGCCUCUAAAAGAUAUCGUUUGUUAGUAUAGUUAAAUAAAUCUAGAAAAUUUGUUAAGGAG